UUGCGUAGUAUCAAUUAAUUAAUUAUUAAUGAAUGAGUAGUGAAAGUAUUACAAAAUACGAUUGCCAGUAAAACGUAUGCUUUGUCGAAGAACUUAAAUGGAAAGUGGGUGUGACAGACAGCUGGAUAAUUUACACGAUUACACGCAUACAUUCGAAGAAUAUUAAAUUAAUAGAAUCAUAAUAAGAACUGUCGACGAUCCUCCUUAUCCAUCGCUUGCAUCAACGCUCCACCAAAAGCCGUUAAUAUUAUUCCCACCAGAGGCGAGCUUUUUCUUCGAUAACGUUGCUCUGCUACCGUGUCAAGUAAUGCGCCCAACUGUCUGCCAAGUUUUGGCCCCGAGCCAACGUAUGCAACCAGCCCUUCCACGAGAUGCUGAGACAGCUAUGGAACGUUCGUGACACCUUUGAAGCUUGGAUCUCUUUAUGCCGCAGGCACGUGACCCUACAACGCCGCUCGACGUUUUUCCUCCACGAACUUUUUUCCACGCGUCACUGUUUUGCGCGAUUUGUCCGUGUCUCCUGGUUCUUUUAGAUCGUUUGAUGAAUAUUUUUGUGAAUGUUGUUUUCCAUUUGUUUCAGGUUUAUUUAUUGCAGAAAUAUUGCAACUUAGUGGAAGAAGAUUCGGUAAGGAUGAGAGAUAUAUAUUGCACGAGAGGUUUUGCUUCACGUUUUUGUUUCUUGAUUUUUGUAUCUUUUUUUUAAAUUAAUUAUAAGUUGAUGGUUAUUAAAGAAAUAUUGUAGCCUAUAAAUGUAUAUAUCUAUUAUACACGACGAAGAAGAAUUUCGCAUUGCAUUUACUUUUUUAUAUUGAUUUUCUGUUUCUUGUUUUUUAUCGUUUUUUAUCUCUUCUUAAUUUUCGAUUUUCAAAUUUUGAAUUAGUUUAAAAAAUUUUGAAUUGGCUUGAGAAAAUAUGAAUAAUAAUUGUUAAUAUUUUUCUUUAUUGUUUA